rnacentral:rRNA from 1 species
CGAGACGGCGACGUUAAGCAAAUCCCAGAAAUAACGUCCCAGUUCGGAUUGUAGUCUGCAACCCGACUACAUGAAGCUGGAAUCGCUAGUAAUCGCGGAUCAGAAUGCCGCGGUGAGUACGUUCCCGGGUCUUGUACACACCGCCCGUCACACCAUGGGAGUUGGGAAUACCCGAAGCCUGUGAGCUAACUUAUAGAGGCAGCAGUCGAAGGUAGAGUCAAUGAUUGGGGUGAAGUCGUAACAAGGUAAC